GGGGACCUUUAUGCUAGCCAUCCACACUCUAGUGCGCCUGCCAGACGCGACCCUCCUCUCCUCUGUACCGGAAAAACAAACAAAAAAUAACACUCAUGGGAAAACCUGAUUCAAAAUUUCGAUAACCAUUUUUCUUUGAAAUACUAUUCUGUUGCAUCACUGCUCAAAAGCUUGAAAGGACACAAUCCAACAAGGCAGGCUUGGGGUCUGGAAGACACCCUUCAUGAACGCAGAAAACACUGGUGCAGUCAGCUGGAGAAGGGGGACAGGAAAAUGGUUUAAUUGGGUACUUUCACCACUCCGGCCCCACUGUAGCAACCCACUGCCUUCAGCUAAGCCCCACAGUGGUUCUCAACCUUCUGAAUGCUGCAACCCUUUAAUACAUGUAUUAACCCCUAUAUUAUGGUGACACCCCCCAUUAAAUUAUUCUUGUUGCU
ensembl:lncRNA